rnacentral:rRNA from 1 species
AGCGAACGCUGGCGGCAGGCCUAACACAUGCAAGUCGAACGAAGUCUUCGGACUUAGUGGCGGACGGGUGAGUAACACGUGGGAACGUACCUUUUGGUUCGGAAUAACGCAGAGAAAUUUGCGCUAAUACCGAAUGUGCCCUUAGGGGGAAAGAUUUAUCGCCAUUAGAGCGGCCCGCGUUGGAUUAGGUAGUUGGUGUGGUAAAGGCGCACCAAGCCUACGAUCCAUAGCUGGUCUGAGAGGAUGAUCAGCCACACUGGGACUGAGACACGGCCCAGACUCCUACGGGAGGCAGCAGUGGGGAAUCUUGCGCAAUGGUCGAAAGACUGACGCAGCCAUGCCGCGUGAAUGAUGAAGGUCUUAGGAUUGUAAAAUUCUUUUACCAGGGACGAUAAUGACGGUACCUGGAGAAGAAGCCCCGGCUAACUUCGUGCCAGCCGCCGCGGUAAAAC